GUCUCAAGAAACUUUUCCAAACAGUAAACUCAUGUCCAGAUUCAUCACAAGCCACAUUAUCCUCAUGAAAUGGCAGAAGACACUAGUUUGGUCCAAGGUUCUCCAAACAAAGUUAGUGGAUACAAUGUAGAGAAGAUAUAAGUUAAUUGUGAAACCUCAAAUAAAGGAUUUAUUACAGAGAAUGAAACUCUGUGAUGAACAAAAAAGAAACCUGAAAUGUGGAAGAUUGGCACAGAUAGGAGUGAGAGACUGAGAGAGGAGGGAGAGCGAGAGAGAUGGGGGAGAAGAUGAAUCAACUCAUUAAGCACAACUGAGUGAAGUCUGCUCCCAAAAUGAAUCUGGGACUUUUGGACAACCAAUAUCUGUGAGAUUUCUUUCAGUGGAGGUCGAGCCCUGGGGAUCAGGUUUCUAUGCUAGUACCUCCGCCUGAUCUGCUGGAACUUUAAUCUCAGUGGAGCAGCCAUAUGAAAAAGGACAGCCUCAUCUACUGGCCUUGGGGCUGAACAUCACCUAUGGUCAUAUCAGGAAGGCUCAGCAUACUUCCCAGACAGAGAUCAAUCAUUUCCUUACUCCCUCCUACUACUUCCUCAGCCUGAAAUCUCAUUUUAAAUUAUGAAACCAAAACCACCAGUCCAGGUCUCUUUCUUGCCACUGAAGAGGGAUUUGAUUUGUCCUCACCCACUGCCAACCCAUAUCAACAUGUCAUUAUGGAACGGGGGGAACAGACUGCUUCAGAUAAGUGCUCCCUUUAAAAAUGGACCAACGCAAAAGUUUUUAGACAACUGGAAAACAGAGAGCCCAUUGCUAAGAGAAGUUCACUGAAGAAACAGAAGAGUGUGAAAGGGCAAAGAGAAGCAGCAUUAUCACAGGGAAUGAAAAGAAAGAACUCAAAUCUCUAUAAUGUACCAGACACAAAGCAUUAAAAUACUCAGAAGACCAUCACCAAGGAUAUCUUUAUGAUUUCAGGUGAGAACAUCUCAGACAGUGUAAAUAACCCAUCAAUUCUAAAAUGCAU
rnacentral:lncRNA from 1 species